CCUACGGGUGACAGCAGUGGGGGAUAUUGCACAAUGGGCGGAACUCUGAUCCAGCGAUGCCGCGUGGGUGAAGAAGCCCCUCUGCGUGUUAAGCCCUGUUAGCAGGGAGGAAAACCACGGUACCUGUAUUCGACUGCCCGGCUAAUUCCGUUCCAGCAGCCGCGGUUAUACGCAGGGGGCAAGGGUUAUCCGGAUUUACUGGGUGUAAUGGGGGCGCAGACGGAGAUGCAAGUCAGUGGUGAAAGGCCCGGGCUCAACCCCGGAACUGCUCUUAGAACUGCGGAGCUAGAGUGCAGGCGGGGCAGGCGGAAUGCCUGGUGUAGCGGUGAAAUGCGUAGAGAUCAGACAGAACACCGAUUGCGAAGGCAGCCUACUAAGCUACAACUGACGUUGAGGCCCGAAAGCGUGGGGAGCAAACAGGAUUAGAUACCCCAGUAGUC
rnacentral:rRNA from 1 species